AUCCACGUUACCAUGGGAGCUGUGUUUUCAUGGCAGUCUCCCUUCCUAGGCGUGGUACAGCAUUUCCUUGUUCUUGUUCACUGUUUCUUGUGUUGUCAUAAGACGCAUGGCUGGAAGAAGGAACAUGU